GCCGGAGUGGCGAAAUGGUAGACGCACGGGACUUAAAAUCCUGCGGUGGUGACACUGUGCCGGUUCAAGUCCGGCCUCCGGCA
rnacentral:tRNA from 2 species